rnacentral:rRNA from 1 species
CCUACGGGAGUCUGCAGUGGGGAAUAUUGGACAAUGGGCGAAAGCCUGAUCCAGCCAUGCCGCGUGUGUGAAGAAGGCCUUCGGGUUGUAAAGCACUUUCAGUGGGGAAGAAAGCCUUGGGGCUAAUACCCUCGAGGAAGGACAUCACCCACAGAAGAAGCACCGGCUAACUCCGUGCCAGCAGCCGCGGUAAUACGGAGGGUGCGAGCGUUAAUCGGAAUUACUGGGCGUAAAGCGCGCGUAGGCGGUCUGAUAAGCCGGUUGUGAAAGCCCCGGGCUCAACCUGGGAACGGCAUCCGGAACUGUCAGGCUAGAGUGCAGGAGAGGAAGGUAGAAUUCCCGGUGUAGCGGUGAAAUGCGUAGAGAUCGGGAGGAAUACCAGUGGCGAAGGCGGCCUUCUGGACUGACACUGACGCUGAGGUGCGAAAGCGUGGGUAGCAAACAGGAUUAGAUACCCCUGUAGUC